rnacentral:lncRNA from 1 species
AUUGGAACACAAUUGGACCCUCAUCCAUCCCAGCUAAUGAGUCUACAACAGUAGCACACAAUUCCACAAUUGGACCAUCACCCACCUCAGCUAAUGCCUCUAAACUAACAGAGAAUUCCACAUAUGGACCUUCACCCACCCCAGCUAAUGAAUCUAAACCAGCAGAGAAUUCCACAUCUGGACCCUCACCCCCCCCAGCUAAUGUAUCUAAGCCAGCAGAGAAUUUCACAAUUGGACCUUUACCCACUCCAGUGAAUUCCACAGUAGGACCAUCACCCACCCCAGCUAAUGAACCUAAAGCAGCAGAGAAUUCCACAGUUGGACCCUCAAUCACCCCAGCUAAUGAAUUUAAACCAGAGAAUUCCACAGUUAGACCAUCAACCACUCCAGCUAAUGAAUCUAAACCAGCAGAAAAUUCCACAGUUGCCCCCUCACCCACCCCAGCUAAUGAAUCUAAACCAGAGAAUUCAACAGUUAGACCAUCAACCACUCCAGCUAAUGAAUCUAAACCAGCAGGGAAUUCCACAGUUGAACCUUCACCCACCCCAGUUACUGAAUCUAAACCAGCAGAGAAUUCCACAAUAGGACCCUCACCCACCCCAGCUAAUGAAUCUAAACCAGCAGAGAAUUUCACAGUUAAACCUUCACCCACCCCAGUUACUGAAUCUAAACCAGCAGAAAAUUCCACAGUUGUUCCCUCUCCCACCACAGCUAAUGAAUCUAAACCAGCAGAGAAUUCCACAGUUGGAGCCUCAUCCAUCCCAGCUAAUGAGUCUACAACAGUAGAGAAUUCCAGAGUUGGACCCUCAGCCACCCCAGCUAAUGAUUCUAAUUCAGUAGAGAAUUCCACAGCUGAUCCCUUACCCAUCCCAG